AUUGAACGCUGGCGGCAUGCCUUACACAUGCAAGUCGAACGGCAGCACGGGUGCUUGCACCUGGUGGCGAGUGGCGAACGGGUGAGUAUUACAUCGGAACGUACCUUAUCGUGGGGGAUAACGCAGCGAAAGCUGUGCUAAUACCGCAUACGCCCUGAGGGGGAAAGCGGGGGAUCGCAAGACCUCGCGCGAUUAGAGCGGCCGAUGCCUGAUUAGCUUGUUGGUGGGGUAAAAGCCCACCAAGGCGACGAUCAGUAGCUGGUCUGAGAGGACGAUCAGCCACACUGGGACUGAGACACGGCCCAGACUCCUACGGGAGGCAGCAGUGGGGAAUUUUGGACAAUGGGGGCAACCCUGAUCCAGCAAUGCCGCGUGAGUGAAGAAGGCCUUCGGGUUGUAAAGCUCCUUUGUCAGGGAAGAAACACCGGCUCUAACACAGUCUGGGAAUGACGGUACCUGAAGAAUAAGCACCGGCUAACUACGUGCCAGCCGCCGCCGUAA
rnacentral:rRNA from 1 species